NNNNNNNNNNNNNCGGCUGUGCCGAGCCGGGGCUGGGGAGGUACCCCCGGCAGAGGCCGGCGGCUGUGCCGAGCUGGGCUGCCAGAGGCUCCUGCCAUCCCCUCAUUCAUCUGUUUCAAUGGCCAGGGAUUUCCUGGGAAAAACACAAACUCCAGCCGCCCGGCCAGCGAUUGGUGCCCACCGGAACAGGUCCCCGCCUGUGUGUUGCCGGCUGAUGCGCCAGCAGGAAUCCGGAUGCGCUCGGGUUAUCUCCCGUGACCCUGGGGAGCCUGGGGGGCCCCGGCAGGCGGCUGAGUCACUGCUCAGGAAUGCUGGUUGGCCACACACAGCCUGCAGCCGGCAGGAGCCGCCGAGUUCCCAGCAGCUCCCCAGCUCGCCAAUCCCCCUUCGGCUGCUUCUCACACCCUCCGCCCCUGAGCUUGGGGUGGGGGGUUCAGGCAGCGCUAAGCCCCCUUCAGGGGUUGAGCCCCGGGGCUCCGCUACUGCAGCCUCAGGGCUGCUCUACCGUCUACUACAGCCCCUGGGGAGCAGAGACUUGCCACAGCACAGGGUGUCCGGGCCACGGCCCUGACCCACCUCCUGCACCGGGGCUGGGAGAAGGGCAGGUGCAGAGCCCCCUGCGCCAGCUCCACACCACCCUACGUGGCCUCUGUCCGGUGCCAGGGGAGGGGGGAGGCUUCUCAGGGGGCAGCUUCCACCCACUCCAUUGCCCCUUAGACUGCCAGAGGGGCAUCCGCAUCCCUGAGAAUCAGGAACACAAUUGGGGGGGGUCCUCUGGGCCUCAGCAAAGGGCCCCUGAUGUGGGGCGGCCGAGGGCGGCCGAGGGAGCGGGGGCCGUGUCCAUGAGGCUGGGCAAGGGGCACAGGCAGACUGGCCUAGUGCACCCCGCCAGCAACGGCUGCUCCCGGCAGGGCCUCAAGGAGCAGGCUGGGGCUGGUGAUGUUGCUCCUGAGGCUCUAAAGUCCAGGACAGGGACUUGGGGCUGCGAGUGCGAAGGCCGCACCUCCCUGCUGCUCUGCCGGGAAAGCAGAGGGCUCUCUUGGAAUGCCCGUCCCUGUGCCCAUCACAUGCCCAGCCCAGCUUCUCCUUUGGACGGGACCUGCCCUGGUCCUGAAGGGUCUCAGGGCCUGAUCCAGCCCGAACAAAAU
rnacentral:lncRNA from 1 species